rnacentral:lncRNA from 14 species
UCCUGCUCCCGUUUCCUUCUCUGCCUUCACCAAUUCCCAGCGGCUCCGCUCUCACGCCUGCAUUUUAUGGGGUUUUCCCCCAAUCUUCUCCAUUUUCCUUCCUUUUCCUCCCUUUUCUCUGGUUUUUUGUCCUAUUUUCUGUUUAUUUUCCUCGAUGGUUUCAAUUUUUUGUUCUAUUUUCUUUUUUCUCGGUUUUUAUUUUCCAUUUUCUUCCUUCUCAAUUUUCCUUUUUUCUAUUUUUCCUCUUAUUUUGAUUCUUUUAAAUUAUCUUUUCAGUAGUUUGCUUCAAGUUUUUUCACUAGUUUUUUUUCUCAAUUUUUAGUUUUUCUCGAUUUCUUCUAAAUUUUUAGAGAUUUUUUCUAUUUAUUGUUUCAUUUUUUCACUAUUUGUUUUCUCUAUUUCUUGAUUUUUUUCUAUUUUUUCUCUAUUUCUUGUCUUUAUUUCUUGGUUUUAAUUUUUUCUCUAUUUCUUGUCUUUUUCUCUAUUUCUUGUUUCUCUAUUUCUUUUUUUCUCUAUUUCUUGUUCUAUUUCUUGCCUUUUUCUCUAUUUCUUGCUUUUUUGUUUUUUUUUCUAUUUCUUGUUUUUUUUCUCUAUUUCUUGAGCAUUUUCUCUCUUGUUUCCUCUAUUUCUUUCUUGGUUUUUUUCUAUUUCUCAUUUUUUCUCUAUUUGUUUUUUUUCUCUAUUUCUUUCUUGUUUUUCCCUCUAUUUCUUGAGGUUUUUUUCUCUAUUUCUUGGUUUAUUUCUCUAUUUCUUUCUUGGUUUUUCUCUAUUUCUUGUCUUUUCCUAUUUCUUCUCUCUUGUUCCUCUCUGUUCCUAUUCGCUCCUCUGCCUCUUGCCUCCAUCCUCUCCUCCGCCGUCUCCAUGGGCUCCUUUCCCUUCCUGCCUGCUCCAAGCCUCGGGAACACAAAGGAAGCAGCUUUAGGAGCCUCGAACAGCCCCAAGAACGGAGCCACUUCAGGAGGAAGCAGCUUCAAGAGCCGCGAUCCCACCAAAAACCGGCUUUUAACAGCUUCGGUUCUCAAGGGCUUUCAAGAGCUGCUCGGUUCUAACGCAAAGCACAUGGGGAGCGUUUGGUGCAUUAAGAAGCUCCCCCCUCAGCUUUUCAAACGCCAUAUUCCAUCCAAAACGGAAGAAAACAGCUUUAAGAGCCUCUUUUCUUCCAAUAAAGACGCUUUAAAAGCGUUUUGCUUCCCAAAAAAGCUGCUUUAA